UUGAGAUUUAUUUUUUCCGCCUAAUACCACCAACAGUUAACUUGGUGGCUGACUGUCAGCGGCGCGGUGAGGUAAUCACCAUUUGUUCCGCUUAAGGCACCGACAGGCGAAGCGCGAUAUAGCGAGGGAGAGAUGCCAGAACUACCAGAGGUGGAGGCAGCGCGACGGGCGAUCGAGGAGCACUGCGCCGGGAAGAGGAUCUGCGAGUGCUCAGUGGCGGACGAUCCUAAGGUCAUCGACGGAGUCUCGGCGUCCGAGCUUGAGGUGGCCCUCGUCGGAAAAACCAUCGUCGCCGCCCUUCGUAAGGGCAAGAACCUAUGGCUACGCCUCGACUCACCGCCAUUCCCCACUUUCCAUUUUGGAAUGACGGGCGCCAUUUGUAUCAAAGGCGUCGCUGUGACUAAAUACGUGAGGUCUUCGGUAAGUGACUCCGAUGAGUGGCCUUCAAAGUACUCAAAGGUGUUUGUUAAACUAGAUGAUAGCGUGGAGUUCUGUUUUACUGAUAAGAGACGUUUUGCCCGGGUUCGCUUGCUUAAAGAUCCACAAUCUGUACCUCCAAUUUCUGAGCUAGGCCCUGAUGCCCUGUUGGAGCUUGUGCCAGUUGAUGAGUUUGUGGAAUCCCUUAGCAAAAAGAAGAUUGCAAUAAAAGCUCUCUUACUUGAUCAGGGCUUUAUUUCAGGCAUUGGGAAUUGGAUUGCAGAUGAAGUUCUUUACCAGGCAAAGAUUCAUCCCCUUCAAAUUGCUUCAAGCUUGACCAAAGAGAGUUGCAAGUCAUUAUACAAAUGCAUCAGAGAGAAAAUAACUAUAGGUUAUCAAACAUGCGGUUGAAGUUGAUGCAAACUCCAGCUACUUUCCAAAAGAAUGGUUGUUUCAUUUGCGUUGGGGCAAAAAGUCUGGCAAAAUCAAUGUCAUUCCCCCAUUGUGGAGAGACAGUUGGAGAGCAUUUCAGCUUUAAAGAGUGUCCUGAAGCAUCAGUUUGUACUUUGAGUUAUUCAGUUUUAUGCACUUGCCGGGUGCCUCUUCCUAAGUUUGUUAUAAGUGGAUUAAAGCUCAUUAAAAUAAUCAGUGAUAGUGAACAGUUAUGGAGUUUA